UACAGAGGGGGCAAGCGUUGUUCGGAAUUACUGGGCGUAAAGAGCGUGUAGGCGGCUCGAUAAGUCUGCUGUGAAAGUCCAGGGCUCAACCCUGGAAGGCCGGUGGAAACUGUCGGGCUAGAGUCCGGAAGAGGCGAGUGGAAUUCCCGGUGUAGCGGUGAAAUGCGCAGAUAUCGGGAGGAACACCAAUGGCGAAGGCAGCUCGCUGGGACGGUACUGACGCUGAGGCGCGAAAGCGUGGGGAGCAAACAGG
rnacentral:rRNA from 1 species